GACCACCUACACAGACUCUAAGC
rnacentral:siRNA from 1 species